GAUGAACGCUGGCUACAGGCUUAACACAUGCAAGUCGAGGGGAAACGACAGGGAAGCUUGCUUCCUUGGGCGUCGACCGGCGCACGGGUGAGUAACGCGUAUCCAACCUGCCCCUGACUGAGGGAUAACCCGUCGAAAGUCGGCCUAAUACCUCAUGGCAUCGUCUGCGGGCAUCCAACGACGAUUAAAGAUUUCAUCGGUCAGGGAUGGGGAUGCGUCUGAUUAGCUUGUUGGCGGGGUAACGGCCCACCAAGGCUACGAUCAGUAGGGGUUCUGAGAGGAAGGUCCCCCACAUUGGAACUGAGAUACGGUCCAAACUCCUACGGGAGGCAGCAGUGAGGAAUAUUGGUCAAUGGGCGAGAGCCUGAACCGGCCAAGUAGCGUGCAGGAUGACGGCCCUAUGGGUUGUAAACUGCUUUUAUGCGGGGAUAAAGUGAGGGACGUGUCCUUCAUUGCAGGUACCGCAUGAAUAAGGACCGGCUAAUUCCGUGCCAGCAGCCGCGGUAAUACGGAAGGUCCGGGCGUUAUCCGGAUUUAUUGGGUUUAAAGGGAGCGUAGGCCGUGGAUUAAGCGUGUUGUGAAAUGCAGGUGCUCAACGUCUGCACUGCAGCGCGAACUGGUUCACUUGAGUGUGCGCAACGCAGGCAGAAUUCGUCGUGUAGCGGUGAAAUGCUUAGAUAUGACGAAGAACUCCGAUUGCGAAGGCAGCUUGCGGGAGCACAACUGACGCUGAAGCUCGAAAGUGCGGGUAUCGAACAGG
rnacentral:rRNA from 1 species